rnacentral:tRNA from 2 species
GCGCGAUUAGCUCAGUUGGUUAGAGUGCAAGCAUGACACGCUUGAGGUCGUAGGUUCGAUUCCUACAUCGCGCA